rnacentral:tRNA from 1 species
GGGGCUAUAGCUCAAUUGGGAGAGCGCCUGGUUUGCAACCAGGAGGUUACCGGUUCGAUCCCGGUUAGCUCCA